AGAGUUUGAUCCUGGCUCAGGAUGAACGCUAGCUACAGGCUUAACACAUGCAAGUCGAGGGGCAGCAUUUCAGUUUGCUUGCAAACUGGAGAUGGCGACCGGCGCACGGGUGAGUAACACGUAUCCAACCUGCCGAUAACUCGGGGAUAGCCUUUCGAAAGAAAGAUUAAUACCCGAUGGUAUAAUCAGACCGCAUGGUCUUGUUAUUAAAGAAUUUCGGUUAUCGAUGGGGAUGCGUUCCAUUAGGCAGUUGGUGAGGUAACGGCUCACCAAACCUUCGAUGGAUAGGGGUUCUGAGAGGAAGGUCCCCCACAUUGGAACUGAGACACGGUCCAAACUCCUACGGGAGGCAGCAGUGAGGAAUAUUGGUCAAUGGGCGCAGGCCUGAACCAGCCAAGUAGCGUGAAGGAUGACUGCCCUAUGGGUUGUAAACUUCUUUUAUAAAGGAAUAAAGUCGGGUAUGCAUACCCGUUUGCAUGUACUUUAUGAAUAAGGAUCGGCUAACUCCGUGCCAGCAGCCGCGGUAAUACGGAGGAUCCGAGCGUUAUCCGGAUUUAUUGGGUUUAAAGGGAGCGUAGGUGGACAGUUAAGUCAGUUGUGAAAGUUUGCGGCUCAACCGUAAAAUUGCAGUUGAUACUGGCUGUCUUGAGUACAGUAGAGGUGGGCGGAAUUCGUGGUGUAGCGGUGAAAUGCUUAGAUAUCACGAAGAACUCCGAUUGCGAAGGCAGCUCACUGGACUGCAACUGACACUGAUGCUCGAAAGUGUGGGUAUCAAACAGGAUUAGAUACCCUGGUAGUCCACACAGUAAACGAUGAAUACUCGCUGUUUGCGAUAUACAGUAAGCGGCCAAGCGAAAGCAUUAAGUAUUCCACCUGGGGAGUACGCCGGCAACGGUGAAACUCAAAGGAAUUGACGGGGGCCC
rnacentral:rRNA from 1 species